AGAAUCCUGUCAGGUAAGGUUUAGCCAACCGCCUGUACCGAGUCCUUGGAGUCGAAGCGGUAACGUCAGACUUAAGCGUAGGACAGGGAGCAACAGAGCCGAAACGAAAGUGAAGUGAUUGAGCUGGGAAAUAGAUAUAGGGUUGGAAAUGGUCGAUGCGCUUACAUACGCAGCAGACAACACCCUUAUGACCGAUAGGGCGAGGGAAUAAGGGCAUCCCCCAGUCUGAGAGCU
rfam:Lachnospiraceae bacterium 3-2 genomic scaffold acPFJ-supercont1.1, whole genome shotgun sequence.